ensembl:lncRNA
CAUUCCAAAGGUCACAUGUGACACAGCCUCAGCCAAUCACAGGAUGGCUGAAAACCUUAGGAAUUGCAUAGAAGAGAGCAACAAGCAUCUUAAGAAUUUCUCCUUGUGUUCCACGGAAGAAUUAAGUCAUAAAGGUCUGGAACGACAUGAGGUUUUAACAGGAAUUCAAAAGGAAUCCACAGAGAACCUGACGAUGCUCCAUGGAGAUUCAGCUUCACGUUCAGAAUUGAACGAAGACAUGUAUUACAGAAUCCUUUACAGUAUAUCCAAGUUGGAGCUAAGAAAAAUGGCACAUAAAAUGGAAAGCAGAGUCCCAAGAGACUGAAAGUCAUUGGAUUAUGAAGAUUUGUGAAUUCUAAUGAAGAAUCUGGAAUUGAGGGCUCACAAAGAUCCCUACUGAACAAGCUCUUUAAUGACACAACAGUAGCAAUCGAUCACAGCUGAGCUCCUUAGAUAAAAUGACCUUAGUAAUUCACAUUUCUAGGGACAAGAACCUGUAUCGAUACUCCAGGCAGUUAAUAUAGUAGCCCUUGGACACCCUACAGCCUUGUUUCUGUCAUGUAUCAAUCGAGUAUUUCCUCCAUAGCUGCACUGUUGCUAGGCUGCUGUUUACACUGACACAAACCAAACAUGCUCAUGGUUUACUGAGCGUCUGCAGUGACAGCUGCUGAUAUGUAGUUAGGAAUGUUUAUUAUGUUUUUUUUUUAUUAUUGUUAUUAUUAUUACAUAAAACACAUUUAGAGGAAUUGUUCACCCAGAUCAAGUUUAGUCAAGAAUAGUCAAACUUGAAAGUCAAGUUUGCAUCAACAUGAGUGAAUUUAGUUGUGAAUUAUGUUUCAUUCAUAUCCUAAGGUAAAAUGUUAACUUUGACAUUCCUAAAACAUUUAUUUACUAUUGAGUUUGGGUGGGACUUGUCAAAGUGCUCAUCUAUUCUAAUAUUUUUAUUUAUUUAUUUUUACUUAGAGACUAGGACUCACACAUUUAACAUCACAAAUGUGAACUACGAGGUGUUACCUGCUUUUGCUCCAGAAACAUAGGCAGAAAUAGAGCGAGGGAUUUUAUUGAACAUUUCAGACCAAUUUUUAUGACUAAAUUUAAGAUUUUUUGCAGCUUUUAAUAUGCUAGCAUAUAGAUGACAUCAAAGCUAGUUGACAUAAAUGAAAAGGUAUAAUUAAAGAAUGGUUUUUAUGUGACAUUUAGGGAGUAAAACAGAUGGUAGAACAGAAAUGUAAGUUGUAACUCAUUUUAAAUACAGUAUUCUCUAUGUAUGAAAGGUAUAAAUCAGCAGAUGGUGAUUUAUUAUAUAUUUCACAUAUUUCUUGGCC